rnacentral:siRNA from 1 species
CGAGGGCACGUCUGCCUGGGUGUCA